CACGUAGGGCGCAAGCGUUGUCCGGAAUUAUUGGGCGUAAAGGGCGCGUAGGCGGCGGGGUCAGUCGGGUGUGAAAUCUUGGGGCUUAACCCCGAAACGGCACUCGAAACUGCCCGGCUGGAGGGCCGGAGAGGAGAUCGGAAUUCACGGUGUAGCAGUGAAAUGCGUAGAGAUCGUGAGGAAGACCCGUGGCGAAGGCGGAUCUCUGGACGGCUAAAACUGACGCUGAGGCGCGAAGGCCAGGGGAGCAAACGGG
rnacentral:rRNA from 1 species